UACGUAGGGUCCGAGCGUUGUCCGGAAUUACUGGGCGUAAAGAGCUCGUAGGUGGUUUGUCGCGUUGUUCGUGAAAACUCACAGCUUAACUGUGGGCGUGCGGGCGAUACGGGCAGACUUGAGUACUGCAGGGGAGACUGGAAUUCCUGGUGUAGCGGUGGAAUGCGCAGAUAUCAGGGAGGAACACCGGUGGCGAAGGCGGGUCUCUGGGCAGUAACUGACGCUGAGGAGCGAAAGCGUGGGGAGCGAACAGG
rnacentral:rRNA from 1 species